UGAUGUGAGGGCCAUCUGGAUGCAUUGUAUGUCACCCCAUUGAUAUCUAGGGUUGAUCUGGCUGAUCUGGCUGCUAGGUGGGUGUCGUCUUUCUCCCUCACCUUUCCAUGUGCCUCCCUCCCAAAACUGUGUGUUGUCUGUGAUCUUACCUGAAUAGAUCUGGGUCUGGUCUUGGGUGUUGUC
rnacentral:snRNA from 1 species